AAUAAAGUGCCUGACAAAAGGAUUACUUUGAUAGAGUAAAUUAUGUGUUUUCACCUUUAUUA
rnacentral:tRNA from 1 species